rnacentral:rRNA from 1 species
GACGAACGCUGGCGGCGUGCUUAACACAUGCAAGUCGAGCGGUAAGGCCCUUUCGGGGGUACACGAGCGGCGAACGGGUGAGUAACACGUGGGUGACCUGCCCUCAGCUCUGGGAUAAGCCUGGGAAACCGGGUCUAAUACUGGAUAUGACUCCAUGACGCAUGUUGUGGGGUGGAAAGCCUUGUGCGGCUGAGGAUGGGCCCGCGGCCUAUCAGCUUGUCGGUGGGGUGANGGCCUACCAAGGCGACGACGGGUAGCCGGCCUGAGAGGGCGACCGGCCACACUGGGACUGAGACACGGCCCAGACUCCUACGGGAGGCAGCAGUGGGGAAUCUUGCGCAAUGGGCGAAAGCCUGACGCAGCGACGCCGCGUGAGGGAUGACGGCCUCGGUGUAAC